GGGCGCGGUGGCUGCGGGGGAGCGCAGAGCUCCGCGCGGGGCGAUGGCUAGGGGUCGGCGUUCGCUAGGUCAGUACGACAGCGGUAGUGACGGAGGAUAACCGAGGGGAGGUGAGGACCCCAGGCGGCGGCGAGGCGGCCGUGGGAUCGGCAAGAGUCGGGCCCGUUCGUUCUUUGUGUGCUUUCUUUCUUGGUGCCGCUUCCUGCUCCUCGCCUCCGCCUUCCUCCUCGCGCUCAUCGCCUUCGGCGUCUUCGUCCCCAACGCCACCAUCGCCGACGCAGGGGGAGACGCCGAUCCCCGCCCCGCACGCACCCGCGCCCGUCGCGACCUCAGCGAGGGUCUUGGAGUGCGAGGAGCGGUGGACGGAGGUCAUCUCCUGGGAACCCAGGGCCUUCGUCUAUGACAACUUCUUGAUGAAAAUACCAUAAGUUAUUUAUGGUUUAUGGGUGAGGGUGAUGAAACUUCUACUGUGGAAAUUUGUUGGGUGCCUGAUAUUGAGGAGGCAAAGAAGAACAAAUGCCAGCUCACAAGAACACCAUAUGGGAGGCGCUUUGCUCACAAGGGCAUCAAUGGAUACUUGGCGUUUUUGUUCAAAUUGAUUGUGGUGCAAGGACCAUCAGUGGGAUUAAAUGUAUCACUUAGUCGAUAUGAUCUCUUCCACGAGCACCUCUUCCUUGCUUCUGGGACAGGAAGGCUUGGAAUUCUAUAUCACUUGCAGUGAUCUUUGGCAGUGACAAUUCUAAUGGAGUUAACGGUUUUGUCCUAAUCCAACGGCCCAUCUCGGUCUAUCUUCAGAUCAACGGCUGAAAUCAACAUGAGCCGCCCUCACCUCCCACGCCCGCAGAUGCCUCGCCCAUCACCCACAGACAUCGCCUUGCCCCUCCACCGCGCGCAGAUUGCACUCCCCACCUCCACUGCGCCGCCCCCGACGAUGCGCCCCCGCCUCCGUCGUAGCCGCCUCGACUGCCUCCUCCGUCCCCCACGCAGUCUGCCGCCUCCGUCGCCCACGCCGGACGCCGCCUAUGCCUCCGCCUCGGCCCAUGUUAGCCGUCGCCUUCCGUCAUCCACGCAGUGAUGAAGCUAUGUCUCAGUUUUUGGAACAAUGUGGAGGAUACCUAACUGAGUUAUGCCUGAACAAUGUUGAGAAGAGUCUGCUUAAAUAUUUAAUACAUGCAGGGCCAGACCAUGGUAGGAGCUACUAGGAUUUGGUAAAAGGGGCGACGCAUAGAGAAGCCUCUGCUGCCGCCCACAAGGUAUUUGCUAUUAUGGUACCCAAUAGAGUGGGCUUCGUUAAAAUAGUAUCCCCGUCAUGAGCUUCGUCAAAAUGGUACUCUUAAAAGAGGGGCUUCGCCAAAAUGGUAUUUUGACCGGUUUUAGCUCAUUUUCUAUUGUUUUAUCACAAACUAGACAUGUAAAAGGACAAAUAUCCCCUGGCGCCUAUUUUAUAACAUAACAUGUAUUUAAAACAACAUUUACAGCAAACCUUUGAUUGCAAAAAUAUUAUCUCACGACACAAGUAAUAAAAAUCACAUCUCAGGCAACAAGCAAUAUUUUUUGCAAAAAAAAGACCCCAAAUACUAAAAACAAUAUUUUGUGGCGCUGUUAUGAUGCAAGGAUUAGGAUUUGAUGUUCAUUAUCAGUUUUUGGCAUUUGGGAUUUUUUUUUGGCAAAAAAUAUUGCUUGUUGCGUGAGAUGUGAUUUUUAAUACUUAUGCCGUGAGAUGAUAUUUUUCCAAUCAAAGGUUUGUUGUAAAAGUUGUUUUAAAUCAAUGUUAUGUCAUAAAAUAGGCACCAGGGGUAUAUUUAUCCUUUUACAUGUCCAGUUUGUGAUAAAACAAUAGAAAAUGAGGUAAAACCGGUCAAAAUAUCAUUUUGGCGAAACCCCUCUUUUAGAAAUACCAUUUUGGCGAAACCCAUGACCAGGAUACUAUUUUACCAUAAUAGCAAAUAACUCGCCGUGCAUGACCGACUCCACCUCCGCUCCUAACUUCGCCGCCCCACCGACGCGCCCCCACCGCUGCCCAAGACCGACGCCGCCUCCGCUCCUGACUCCGCCGUCCCGACCGACGCGUCCCCGCCUCCGCUCCGGUAGCUCGUGUCAUCAGAAACAUUCAGAAUGAAAUUUAGGAAUUAGAGAAAGAGAAGACUACGUUAGGAUUGCUCAAGAUGGUGGCUUGCAACAAGUUUUCUUAGGUUGGCUGUUGUAUGUUGCCGAGUUGAACUCACUCUAUCACCCAGGGAUAUCUGUCUUCCUCAUUGUAGUUUACAGCAACUACAUGCUAUACUUAGGGAAGGCAGAAUUGAGUUGCAGUGGGCAGAGCUUCUCGUUAGCUUUCCUAUGCAAACUCGCAAAGUGCAGGGGCGAUUAUUUUUGCAGCCGAUCCCUGCAUCACUAGUAUUUAUUUCCAUCAGACACCACAGUCCUCAAAAAAGAUGUCAUUGAUCUCAUCAAGAAAUUCAAUAUUCAAGUCAACAACUUAACCCAGUUCCUGUCACAGGACAGGCUUGUGGAUUUGCUAAGUUGACACCUAUUUAACUACAGAAGAAAUUGAAAAGGCUGUUGGUGAUCCUAAUUUACCUGUUUAGCAUAGUCUGGUUAUAGACAGGAGCAAGGAAUUGAAGAAUCUUGAAGUGGAAAUUCCCCUUUCUGGAUUUUGAAGGGAAUGAAAAGUAUUUUGGCAAGGAGAUGUGGAACUGUUAAACAGGAGAUAUAAGUUUUGCAAUUUACUGCAUGGAAACAACAUGCCGGCUUGUUAAGUCUGUAGGAGACAAUUCAGUUCUUCAUCAGAUUUUGUCUAACGGAGUUAAAGCUACAAGAAAUGUAGGGGGAAAGAUAUUGGAAACAAGGUGGAUGUCUGGAUGACAUGUGGCCCAAAGCAAGUUCCUGUGAUAUUGGGAUGACCCAAGACCCUGAUGGCCAAUUUCGUGAUGUAAUAAAUGUAUAUCUGGAGCCAAAAUGUCACUCACCUGAUUCGGAAGCUGUGCAGAGACGAUGGAGUUUGGAUGGUGGAUUUUGCUAGGGCCAUCCGUGGGAUUCAUUUGGAGUAUCGUUUGGAAAUUUAGGUGGUGUAGAUGGCGGUGGGUUCUUCAUGAUCUUCUUGAUCAUUGGUUUUGGUGCAAGAGUGGUCGGUGGCGAUAUCAAAAUGGCCUCCCAGGUGGAGCCGGCGUCGAUGGCUUUGGUGCUGCGGCUUGCCCAGUGUGUUGGGCGGACAGGCCGGUGGUGGCGUCAAGAUUCGUGGAAUCGAGGGCAUGGUGAAUAGACGGGCGUUUGGGUGGAGACUCUAGUUAUUUUUUUUUAUAUUUUAUAU